rnacentral:rRNA from 1 species
AGGAGUUUGAUCCUGGCUCAGAUUGAACGCUGGCGGCGUGCCUAACACAUGCAAGUCGAGCGGUAACAGGUGUAGCAAUACAUGCUGACGAGCGGCGAACGGGUGAGUAAUGCUUUGGAAUCUUCCCAGUAGUGGGGAAUAACCAGUCGAAAGAUUGGCUAAUACCGCAUACGUCUGUAAAGGGAAAGCGGGGGCUCGUAAGACCUCGCGCUAUUGGAUGAGCCAAAGUCGGAUUAGCUAGUUGGUGAGGUAAUGGCUCACCAAGGCGACAAUCCGUAGCUGGUCUGAGAGGACGACCAGCCACACCGGAACUGAGACACGGUCCGGACUCCUACGGGAGGCAGCAGUGGGGAAUAUUGGACAAUGGGGGAAACCCUGAUCCAGCGACGCCGCGUGUGUGAAGAAGGCCUGCGGGUUGUAAAGCACUUUUAGUGGGGACAAAAAGCUACGGAUUAAUACUCUGUGGUCUUGAUUUAACUCACAGAAAAAGCACCGGCUAACUCUGUGCCAGCAGCCGCGGUAAUACAGAGGGUGCGAGCGUUAAUCGGAAUUACUGGGCGUAAAGCGCGCGUAGACGGUUUUGUAAGUCAGAUGUGAAAUCCCCGGGCUCAACCUGGGAACUGCAUUUGAAACUGCAUGGCUAGAGUACGGUAGAGGGAAGUGGAAUUUCGGUGUAGCGGGAAAUGCGUAGAUAUCGGAAGGAACACCAGUGGCGA